rnacentral:lncRNA from 1 species
CGUGAUUAAGGUUUCACUAAUCCAAAGCCCAUAACCAAAACUAUAAAUACAUGUCAAAGGUAAGAGGUAGACACUCUCAUUAAUUGUGCAUUUAUUACAACACUCAAAUUACCGAACGAAUCAUUACUAACUUUAACAUUAGAGAACCUUUGGCAAGUAUCCUCUCGGACGAGACUUAGACAAAUAGCGGAGGAACGGAUAAAACAAGACGACACUAGGA